GGAAAGCUUACUUUCGCUUUUGCUUUAGGGAAGAGCGGCGCGCAGUUUCCCAUCUGUAAAGGCAGUUGAAGUCUCUCAAUAUGUGGCCAUCAGCUACACAUAGAUGUGGCUUCCUCACAUCCUCUAAUCUGCCAGUGCCUUUGAAAAGCAUUUCUGUGGAUGUCAUUAUACGAGGUUUCGUAGCUGAC